rnacentral:rRNA from 1 species
CCUACGGGAGGCAGCAGUAAGGAAUAUUGGACAAUGCUCGCAAGAGUGAUCCAGCCAUGCCGCGUGCAGGAAGAAUGCCCUAUGGGUAGUAAACUGCUUUUGAACUAGAGAAAACCCCAGUACGUGUACUGGGCUGAUAGUAUAGUUAGAAUAAGCAUCGGCUAACUUCGUGCCAGCAGCCGCGGUAAGACGAAGGAUGCAAGCGUUAUCCGGAUUCAUUGGGUUUAAAGGGAGCGUAGGUGGACUGAUAAGUCAGUGGUGAAAUCUCCGAGCUUAACUCGGAAAUUGCCAUUGAUACUGUUGGUCUUGAGUACAGUUGCUGUGGGCGGAAUAUGACAUGUAGUGGUGAAAUACAUAGAGAUGUCAUAGAACACCGAUUGCGAAGGCAGCUCACAAAGCUGUAACUGACACUGAGGCUCGAAAGUGCGGGGAUCAAACAGGAUUAGAUACCCUGGUAGUCCGCACCGUAACGAUGAUUACUCGCUGCUAGGGGGCACCGUUUAGUGGCUUAGCGAAAGCGAAUAAGUAAUUCCACGUGGAGGUUACGCGGCGACGGNGAAGUUAAGAAGUUAGAGGCGNGAGAGNGCGACGGACGACGACGAGGGAGGUAGG